GCAUUGUAGCGCAUGCGCACUAUCAUUUGGAGCAGAGGCGUUUGAAGCUUGAACGAGAGCGCGGGGUUGUGCAUGAUGAGGGCGAAGUGGAGGAAAAAAAGGAUGCGCAGAUUGAAGCGCAAACGUAGGAAGAUGAGGGCAAGGUCCAAGUGAGGCCUGCAAAUGGAGUGGCAACACCGUGGUGACUGGCAGCUGUAUUAAGCUUCACCUUCAUUGUUAAAUGGAAGACUGCAGUUUUCAUGUUUCAAGAAUUUCCAAUUUGUUUUAUCUGUUACUGAACUUUGUUAUGGAAUGCAUUUUAUUGCAGUUUUUGAUGUUUUAAAAUAAAAUUGUUUUGAAUACACUUUAAA